GACGAACGCUGGCGGCGUGCCUAAUACAUGCAAGUAGAACGCUGUUGCGAACGGGUGAGUAACGCGUAGGUAACUGCCUAAUAGCGGGGGCUAACUAUUGGCAACGAUAGCUAAUACCGCAUCCUGAGAGAUGGCCUUGCGUUGUAUUAGCUAGUUUGUGAGGAAAAAGCGAACAAAGGCGACGUUACAUAGCCGACCUGAGAGGUGGAUAGGACAAACUGGGACGGUGACAAGGCCCAGACGCCUACGGGAGGUAGCCGUAGGGAAGCUUCGGCAAUGGACGGAAGUCUGACCGAGAAAAGCCGCGUGAGUGAAGAAGGUUUUCGGAUCGUAAAGCUCUGUUGUUAGAGAAGCGUUAACUACCCAGAAAGGGACGGCUAACUACGUGCCAGCAGCCGCGGUAAUAC
rnacentral:rRNA from 1 species